UCCCGGCUCUGGGGACUCACCUUGCGGAGCUUACCCAGGCGGACUGUCCGCAGCCCCGGAUGGGUGUGUGUGUCAGACCGUUUACUAAACACCAGGACUGUUGUAGGCGGCUCCAUGUUGAACCAUGAAAGGACCUCAGGAAUGAAACCCACACACAGCAAAGCAGCAAAGUGAAAGAAGCGUGGAUUCCUAAUGCAGGAGGCACUGAACCAAUCAAUACCCACUGCCCUCCAGACCUCCACAUGAAAGAAAAAAACUGCUGUCCUGUGAAGAAGACACUCCCCAGAUGCCAGCAACUU
rnacentral:lncRNA from 1 species